UAAUAUUUUGUUUUAUUUUAUCGUAGGUCGUUACUGGUACCGAAAAUUUAACCAAGAGAUGGACGUUCCAAAAUAGUACCUACGAGUUGAAUACUGCUGAUGAGCUCGAAUGGGUGCAAGCCAAGAAUGAUUGCCGAAGGAAAGGAAUGCGGCUAGUGAGCAUUGAAAGCGUUGACGAGUACUAUACAAUCUUGGAAGUUAUAGCCCCGUUCAACUUAUCAAUUUGGAUGUCGGGUUCUGAUGAUGGUCAAGAGGGUGAAUUUUAUUGGGAGGCAACUGGUCAACUCAUAGGACCUUUCACUACCUGGUAUCCUGGUGAGCCGAACAACCUGAAAGGCAACGAGAACUGUAUGCAAAUGUCGGGCUAUCAAUAUUAUCUCUGGAGCGAUGAAGAUUGCGACGUUUUGGCAAAUUAUAUUUGUGAGGGAUAUCUCUGCUCUUAAUUGACGCAUGAAAUGUUUUCUUUGAAAUCAUUAUCAUUAAUUAAUUAAAAAUCUUGCAACGUAAUUAUACAUAUAUGAGUGAGCCUGUUUACAGGUCUUCUUUAUUUUCCACAGCAUCCA